rnacentral:rRNA from 2 species
GACCCUUCGGGAGCUAGCACAGGUGCUGCAUGGCUGUUGUCAGCUCGUGUCGUGAGAUGUUCGGUUAAGUCCGCUAACGAGCGCAACCCUCGCUGUGUGUUAUAUGUGUCACAUGGGACUGCCGGCCUUAAGCCGGAGGAAGUGGGGAUGAUGUCAAGUCAGCAUGGCCUUUAUGUCCUGGGCUACACACACGCUACAAUGGUCAGCACAAUGGGUCGCUAAGCCGCAAGGUGGAGCCAAUCCUCAAAGUUGGCCUCAGUUCAGAUUGUAGGCUGCAACUCGCCUGCAUGAAGAUGGAGUUGCUAGUAAACGCAGGUCAGCUAUACUGCGUUGAAUACGUUCCCGGGGCUU